ACUUCUGCUUCCUCUUCCUUUUGCUGUUUUUCCUCUUCAUCAACUUUUGGCAAAAGCUGCAACCACUUCUCCUCAAAUUUUCCCAAUAAGGUUUUGGCCAUUACAUGAACGUCAUGCCUUUCCUCAUUGUAUUUCAUUACAUUCUUAAAUAUAAGCCUAAUGUCUGCACAUAUCUCCCGGACAUGCUUAUAGCCAGAACCAUCCUUUGCUUCCAUUUUUCUUUUGAUAGUACUGAAGUCUAUGGGCUUCUCAAUAACCUCAAAGUAAUCAUGCAAUCCAAGACCCUCAACAUCCAUAGGUUCCACAAAAGGUUCUGCCCACUUGUGCUGAGUGACGCUGUUUUUCCUAUGAGCAGUAGUUCUAUAUAUUUAUGUCUUAAUCAUUUACUUAUAAAGCCAAUCAAUAUUCUAAUCUCACAUAAGCAUAAUGAGCAGCCUACAAGAAAAUGAUUCAAUAAUCUUACCAAUUUACAUGAGAUACUAAAUAAAAGACAGAGACCAUAGGCAACACAUGGAUAUGGGUAGUACCUCUUCAUCAACUUUUGGCAAAAGCUGCAACCACUUCUCCUCAAAUUUGCCCAAUAAGGUUUUGGCCAUUACAUGAACGUCAUGCCUUUCCUCGUUGUAUUUCAUUGCGUUCUUAAAUAUAAGCCUAACGUCUGCACAUAUCUCCCGGACAUGCUUAUAGCCAGAACCAUCCUUUGCUUCCAUUUUUCUUUUGAUGGU
rnacentral:lncRNA from 1 species